ensembl:lncRNA
UAAGUCAUAUUAAAAUUUAUUUUAAAAAUACAUGGUUAGAAAGCACAUAUUACAGUGGUAAAGCAGCAGCAGUUUUUAUUUAUUACAAAUUCUAAAAAAUAAUCCAAUGUUAUAAGCAAAAAGGAACACUGAUUAUCAUCAAAAACAUGUAAAUUUAAAAUUAUCUACAAUCGUACACACACAAAAAACUCUGUAUUUGAGUAAGACCAAAGUAUCUGUUGGUUUUUACAGAUAUAGAAUUUUGGUAGAGUUUUAGGCCCUAUCAAUGGUUUCUGUUAAGUAUAAUGAUAACAAAAGAAAGCAAUGAAACAAACGGAUACCAAAGAUGAAGAGCCUGUUAACCAGGCACGGGCCAGAGAAACCUGCCACGCUGGCAAUACAAGGUUCUUUACCAACGGAGCCGUGGCCCGUGUGCUCUGCCCCACAUAGAUGUUGGUGCUGGUGCAGAAACUGCAGGGGCCAGGACCUACGGUGCAUAAAAGCUAAAAUAGUGCUGCUCCCAGGGUUGCCAACUGAGUUGAGCCAUAACAAAACGCAUUUGAAAUGAACAAGACUAAACUGUGUACAUAAAAACAAUAACGAAUGUUACAAAAACCAACCACUAAACCAACAACCCCAACAACAGUAGAUCGGGCCUUUCAAAAUUCAGAAACCAGAAAGCCAUUAAAAAAUGUUUAAAUAAAAUUAUACAAGGAGAUAAAAAAAGAAACUCGGCUAAACAAUGAACUCAAACAACGUUAUUUUCACACAUCUAUGUGUCUGAAAAUCAAUGACCUGUGCUGGCAUUAGUUCCUACGUGAACUUUGGUACUUCUUCCCUUGAUAUUUUAGAACAAGCUAGAAAAUGUUAGGUAGAAAAUGUACAGAGAAGGCACUAUUUUGGCACUAGUCAAAAACCAAAAACAAGCCCCCAAACCAAGCUAAUAAUACCCCCACAAGACAUUCACACGAAGCAAGUGUAUAUUAAUAUUCCCUGAUGCACACUCUAAACCCAAUCCUUUAAAAUCAGGUGGGACACUGUAUUCAUAUUUUUGGUUUGAAUUCUACUGUCGCUUGAAGCAUAUCAACAGAUACCCAGGCACAGAACAUCACGGGCAACAUCACAGGGAAGGAAGAGUUGGAAUCCUGGCACAAUUGCGUCUGAGGUUUAUAAUCUCAGAAUAUACUGAUCUAAGAGGAAAAAGAGCUCAGACUAAUCUGGUCCCUCCAGCAUUAUCAGCACUGGUGGGCGAUUACGCUUCCUUAUUCUCCCUGCUAAACAGUUAAAUGCAUUUAGAAAAUAAUUUGGUAAAUAUAAUUUCUAAUUCAAAAGAUCAUAACAUACUCAGGACUUAGAAAAUAUUUUAAAUUUAUUAUUUGAAAUUUUAAAGUUUAAAAAAUCCUUUAUUCAGAAAAAUUAAAAGAAGUCAGGGUCUUAUCUUUUAAAGGAAACAGAAAAUUCUGAAACAUAUUAUGUCUGUGUGGCUGACAAUAGAAGGUUUUAUAGAUAUCAACAUUAGUUUUUCAUUAAUGUAUAUAUCCCAAAUGAUGUUUUGGUCUUUUCUAGAUAUUCGUCUCUGGGGAAAAUGGCAUUAAUUAAGCAAUAAUCUGUAUUUCAGUAUAUAUCAAAAGUUCUAAUAUAAGUAGUUUAAAUAGUUUCAAAAUUUGGACUUGCAUAACUACCUUGUUAAAUGUAGGGUUGGUAUGGCCUUUGUAUCGUUAUUCACAAAUCAUAAGAGUAUAAAAUAAAAGUGCUAUUAUAAGAAGUUUCUCACUGAAAAUGUUCAGAGAGCAGAUUUCCUAGUGCAAAAAAAGAAAAGUAAUUUAAGCUGUUUUUACCCAAUCACAAUUAAGAGAAUGCAUAUGCAUUUUUUUAAUUUCUGGAAAGAAGUUUAUGUAAGUGUGUCUGAUUACUAGUAAAAUCCACACAGAACAUUUUGGCAAUCCUAAGAAAGCAAAAACAACAUUUUGUUCAAAAGGUUGUGAAUUCAAACGUAGUAACAGACAGACAGUAAAAGACCUGCUAGUACUGACUUUUUCUAAAAAAGCACAAACCAAGGCAGAAAUCAGAAGAGGCACAGCAGAAGAAAGCAAACAGAAAUUCCCUAAUGCCCCCACCCCACUGCAUUUCAGAUCAUAAAGCACCUAACGUACUAGACUUCAGUGAUUUCAUAUUAGAAAC